rnacentral:rRNA from 1 species
CAGUGGGGAAUAUUGGACAAUGGGCGCAAGCCUGAUCCAGCCAUGCCGCGCGUGUGAAGAAGGCCUUCGGGUUGUAAAGCACUUUUGUUCGGGAAGAAAAGCUACCGGUUAAUACCCGGGAGUCAUGACGGUACCGAAAGAAUAAGCACCGGCUAACUUCGUGCCAGCAGCCGCGGUAAUACGAAGGGUGCAAGCGUUACUCGGAAUUACUGGGCGUAAAGCGUGCGUAGGUGGUGCGUUAAGUCUGUCGUGAAAGCCCCGGGCUCAACCUGGGAAUGGCGGUGGAUACUGGCGCGCUAGAGUGCGGUAGAGGGGAGUGGAAUUCCCGGUGUAGCAGUGAAAUGCGUAGAGAUCGGGAGGAACAUCAGUUGCGAAGGCGGCUCUCUGGACCAACACUGACACUGAGGCACGAAAGCGUGGGGAGCAAACAGGAUUAGAUACCCUGGUAGUCCACGCCCUAAACGAUGCGAACUGGACGUUGGGAGCAACUAGGCUCUCAGUGUCGAAGCUAACGCGUUAAGUUCGCCGCCUGGGGAGUACGGUAGCAAGACUGAAACUCAAAGGAAUUGACGGAAGC